GCCCUAGUAACUUAAAACUAAAGUGUUGGUCUUGUAAACCAAACAUGAUGGUUAAACUCCAUCCUUGGGCU
rnacentral:tRNA from 1 species